GUCAAGCCUCCGCACACUCCAUCCCCUCCACAUUCUUUUCCACCGUACACUCCAAAACCGCCUACCGUUACGCCUCCUCCUCCCUACACGCCAUCCCCUCCACCGUACACUCCAAAACCUCCCACUGUCAAGCCACCGCCACAGCCAACUCCAACCCCAUCCCCUCCACCACCGUACGUCAAGCCACCACCAGUGCCAACCCCAGAGACGCCAUGCCCGCCACCACCGCCACCGUCACCACCACCAACCCCAUGUCCUCCUACACCUCCAGCGCCAACCCCUGAACCGGAGACUUGCUCAAUCGAUGCGCUUAAGCUAGGCGCGUGUGUGGACGUGCUAGGCGGUUUGAUUCACAUCGGACUAGGUAAAAGCUACG
rnacentral:lncRNA from 1 species